rnacentral:rRNA from 1 species
AGUGAACGCUGGCGGCGUGCUUAACACAUGCAAGUCGAACGAGAACGGGUUAUAGCUUGCUAUAAUUGUCAGCUAAGUGGCGCACGGGUGAGUAAUGUAUAGGUAAUAUGCCUCUUACUAAGGGAUAACAAAUGGAAACGUUUGCUAAUACCUUAUACUCCUUAUUAACAGAAGUUAAUAAGGGAAAGAUUUAUUGGUAAGAGAUUAGCCUGUAUUGUAUCAGUUAGUUGGUGGGGUAAUGGCUUACCAAGACUAUGACACAUAACUGGUUUGAGAGGAUGAUCAGUCACACUGGAACUGAGACACGGUCCAGACUCCUACGGGAGGCAGCAGUGGGGAAUAUUGCACAAUGGACGAAAGUCUGAUGCAGCAACGCCGCGUGGGGGAUGACACAUUUCGGUGCGUAAACUCCUUUUAUAUGAGAAGAUAAUGACGGUAUUAUAUGAAUAAGCACCGGCUAACUCCGUGCCAGCCGCCGCUGUAAAAC